UACGUAGGGGGGCAAGCGUUGUCCGGAAUCAUUGGGCGUAAAGAGCGUGUAGGCGGCCUGAUAAGUCGGCUGUGAAAGUCAAGGGCUCAACCCUUGAAUGCCGGCCGAUACUGUCAGGCUAGAGUCCGGAAGAGGCGAGUGGAAUUCCUGGUGUAGCGGUGAAAUGCGCAGAUAUCAGGAGGAACACCUAUGGCGAAGGCAGCUCGCUGGGACGGUACUGACGCUGAGACGCGAAAGCGUGGGGAGCGAACAGG
rnacentral:rRNA from 1 species